UUAAGCGACUAAGCGUACACGGUGGAUGCCCUGGCAGUCAGAGGCGAUGAAGGACGUGCUAAUCUGCGAUAAGCGUCGGUAAGGUGAUAUGAACCGUUAUAACCGGCGAUUUCCGAAUGGGGAAACCCAGUGUGUUUCGACACACUAUCAUUAACUGAAUCCAUAGGUUAAUGAGGCGAACCGGGGGAACUGAAACAUCUAAGUACCCCGAGGAAAAGAAAUCAACCGAGAUUCCCCCAGUAGCGGCGAGCGAACGGGGAGCAGCCCAGAGCCUGAAUCAGUGUGUGUGUUAGUGGAAGCGUCUGGAAAGGCGCGCGAUACAGGGUGACAGCCCCGUACACAAAAAUGCACAUGCUGUGAGCUCGAUGAGUAGGGCGGGACACGUGGUAUCCUGUCUGAAUAUGGGGGGACCAUCCUCCAAGGCUAAAUACUCCUGACUGACCGAUAGUGAACCAGUACCGUGAGGGAAAGGCGAAAAGAACCCCGGUGAGGGGAGUGGAAAAGAACCUGAAACCGUGUACGUACAAGCAGUGGGAGCCUCUUUAUGGGGUGACUGCGUACCUUUUGUAUAAUGGGUCAGCGACUUAUAUUCUGUAGCAAGGUUAACCGAAUAGGGGAGCCGAAGGGAAACCGAGUCUUAACUGGGCGUUAAGUUGCAGGGUAUAGACCCGAAACCCGGUGAUCUAGCCAUGGGCAGGUUGAAGGUUGGGUAACACUAACUGGAGGACCGAACCGACUAAUGUUGAAAAAUUAGCGGAUGACUUGUGGCUGGGGGUGAAAGGCCAAUCAAACCGGGAGAUAGCUGGUUCUCCCCGAAAGCUAUUUAGGUAGCGCCUCGUGAAUUCAUCUCCGGGGGUAGAGCACUGUUUCGGCAAGGGGGUCAUCCCGACUUACCAACCCGAUGCAAACUGCGAAUACCGGAGAAUGUUAUCACGGGAGACACACGGCGGGUGCUAACGUCCGUCGUGAAGAGGGAAACAACCCAGACCGCCAGCUAAGGUCCCAAAGUCAUGGUUAAGUGGGAAACGAUGUGGGAAGGCCCAGACAGCCAGGAUGUUGGCUUAGAAGCAGCCAUCAUUUAAAGAAAGCGUAAUAGCUCACUGGUCGAGUCGGCCUGCGCGGAAGAUGUAACGGGGCUAAACCAUGCACCGAAGCUGCGGCAGCGACGCUUAUGCGUUGUUGGGUAGGGGAGCGUUCUGUAGGCCUGUGAAGGUGUGCUGUGAGGCAUGCUGGAGGUAUCAGAAGUGCGAAUGCUGACAUAAGUAACGAUAAAGCGGGUGAAAAGCCCGCUCGCCGGAAGACCAAGGGUUCCUGUCCAACGUUAAUCGGGGCAGGGUGAGUCGACCCCUAAGGCGAGGCCGAAAGGCGUAGUCGAUGGGAAACAGGUUAAUAUUCCUGUACUUGGUGUUACUGCGAAGGGGGGACGGAGAAGGCUAUGUUGGCCGGGCGACGGUUGUCCCGGUUUAAGCGUGUAGGCUGAUUUUCCAGGCAAAUCCGGAAAAUCAAGGCUGAGGCGUGAUGACGAGGCACUACGGUGCUGAAGCAACAAAUGCCCUGCUUCCAGGAAAAGCCUCUAAGCAUCAGGUAACAUCAAAUCGUACCCCAAACCGACACAGGUGGUCAGGUAGAGAAUACCAAGGCGCUUGAGAGAACUCGGGUGAAGGAACUAGGCAAAAUGGUGCCGUAACUUCGGGAGAAGGCACGCUGAUAUGUAGGUGAAGUCCCUCGCGGAUGGAGCUGAAAUCAGUCGAAGAUACCAGCUGGCUGCAACUGUUUAUUAAAAACACAGCACUGUGCAAACACGAAAGUGGACGUAUACGGUGUGACGCCUGCCCGGUGCCGGAAGGUUAAUUGAUGGGGUCAGCGCAAGCGAAGCUCUUGAUCGAAGCCCCGGUAAACGGCGGCCGUAACUAUAACGGUCCUAAGGUAGCGAAAUUCCUUGUCGGGUAAGUUCCGACCUGCACGAAUGGCGUAAUGAUGGCCAGGCUGUCUCCACCCGAGACUCAGUGAAAUUGAACUCGCUGUGAAGAUGCAGUGUACCCGCGGCAAGACGGAAAGACCCCGUGAACCUUUACUAUAGCUUGACACUGAACAUUGAGCCUUGAUGUGUAGGAUAGGUGGGAGGCUUAGAAGUGUGGACGCCAGUCUGCAUGGAGCCGGCCUUGAAAUACCACCCUUUAAUGUUUGAUGUUCUAACGUGGACCCGUAAUCCGGGUUGCGGACAGUGUCUGGUGGGUAGUUUGACUGGGGCGGUCUCCUCCUAAAGAGUAACGGAGGAGCACGAAGGUUGGCUAAUCCUGGUCGGACAUCAGGAGGUUAGUGCAAUGGCAUAAGCCAGCUUGACUGCGAGCGUGACGGCGCGAGCAGGUGCGAAAGCAGGUCAUAGUGAUCCGGUGGUUCUGAAUGGAAGGGCCAUCGCUCAACGGAUAAAAGGUACUCCGGGGAUAACAGGCUGAUACCGCCCAAGAGUUCAUAUCGACGGCGGUGUUUGGCACCUCGAUGUCGGCUCAUCACAUCCUGGGGCUGAAGUAGGUCCCAAGGGUAUGGCUGUUCGCCAUUUAAAGUGGUACGCGAGCUGGGUUUAGAACGUCGUGAGACAGUUCGGUCCCUAUCUGCCGUGGGCGCUGGAGAACUGAGGGGGGCUGCUCCUAGUACGAGAGGACCGGAGUGGACGCAUCACUGGUGUUCGGGUUGUCAUGCCAAUGGCACUGCCCGGUAGCUAAAUGCGGAAGAGAUAAGUGCUGAAAGCAUCUAAGCACGAAACUUGCCCCGAGAUGAGUUCUCCCUGACUCCUUGAGAGUCCUGAAGGAACGUUGAAGACGACGACGUUGAUAGGCCGGGUGUGUAAGCGCAGCGAUGCGUUGAGCUAACCGGUACUAAUGAACCGUGAGGCUUAACCUU
rnacentral:rRNA from 1 species